GGCUACGUAGCUCAGCUGGUUAGAGCACAUCACUCAUAAUGAUGGGGUCGCAAGUUCGAAUCUCGCCGUAGCCACCA
rnacentral:tRNA from 13 species